rnacentral:rRNA from 1 species
GGUUACUGCUAUCGGUGUUCGCCUAAGCCAUGCGAGUCAUAUGUUCGUAAGAACAUGGCGUACUGCUCAGUAACACGUGGAUAACCUGCCCUUGGGUCCGGCAUAACCCCGGGAAACUGGGGAUAAUUCCGGAUAACGCACAUAUGCUGGAAUGCUUUAUGCGUAAAAUGGAUUCGUCUGCCCAAGGAUGGGUCUGCGGCUUAUCAGGUAGUAGUGGGUGUAAUGUACCUACUAGCCUACGACGGGUACGGGUUGUGAGAGCAAGAGCCCGGAGAUGGAUUCUGAGACAUGAAUCCAGGCCCUACGGGGCGCAGCAGGCGCGAAAACUUUACAAUGCGGGAAACCGUGAUAAGGGGACACCGAGUGCCAGCAUCCUAUGCUGGCUGUCCGGGUGUGUAAAAUACACCUGUUAGCAAGGGCCGGGCAAGACCGGUGCCAGCCGCCGCGGUAACACCGGCGGCCCGAGUGGUGAUCGUGAUUAUUGGGUCUAAAGGGUCCGUAGCCGGUUUGGUCAGUCCUCCGGGAAAUCUGACAGCUUAACUGUUAGGCUUUCGGAGGAUACUGCCAGACUUGGAACCGGGAGAGGUAAGAGGUACUACAGGGGUAGGAGUGAAAUCUUGUAAUCCCUGUGGGACCACCUGUGGCGAAGGCGUCUUACCAGAACGGGUUCGACGGUGAGGGACGAAAGCUGGGGGCACGAACCGGAUUAGAUACCCGGGUAGUCCCAGCCGUAAACGAUGCUCGCUAGGUGUCAGGCAUGGCGCGACCGUGUCUGGUGCCGCAGGGAAGCCGUGAAGCGAGCCACCUGGGAAGUACGGCCGCAAGGCUGAAACAUAA